AGCCGGGCGGGCUAACGCUCCCCUGGGAAGGCCGGGUCCCGGUCCCGGGGGCUGGGGAGGCCCUGAGCUGCCAGCAGCCCCCCCCCGGGGCACGGCGGCGGGCAGGAGGGGCGAGGGGCGUUGGGCCUGGGGAUGCCCUGAGCUGCCGUCCUCCCGCCAGCCCAGUACGCGGGGGAAGCCACGGCUGGGCUGUGCCUAAACGUGGGGCUGGGUUUUGUGCUGCCACACGAAUACCUGGGGGGGGGGGGGGGAAUCCCUGCAUGGCCCUCCGCAGUGGGCCUGGGCACUUCUCCCCAGCGUGGUUUUCUUUCCUGCAGCCUUGGGUCAAAGCUUGGGUUUUAAGUGAAAAUGGAUUUUCGUGUGGCCAGUGGUGCUGGGAUCAAGAGGCCUUUGGUAAAAGGAGCAAACUGAAAACACAGCACAAACCGUUACAAGUUUUGCAGCUAGAAGCGGUGAAAAUGCCUGUUACGCAAAGGUUAAUUUCAGGAGCGUGAUUUCCCAGAAAUGUGACCAAAACAAGUGUAUAGAGGUAAGUGGAACAGAGGAUGGUAAUGAACUGAAUCGUAGCAGUCAAACAAGCUGUCCUUCCGUCAGGCCAAAUGUCCAACUAGCCCAGCAUUGUAUCUCUGACAGUGCCUGGUGUAGAAAAACUUUGAAACAAAGGGAGUGUGUGCUGCUGAUUCCGUAGAUCUAGUAGUAAGGGAAGCUAUUUUGAAGCCAAGGACAGGAAUAGUCUUCGGUCAUUAAGACUAAAAAAGUAGGAUACUUGUAAUUUAACUAGCAUAUCUAAAUGUAACUGGCCUAGUUUUCCCCAGAAAUGAUCUCGACAGCUGUAUGAGUAGAUAAACAGGAAAGAUGCAUGACUGGUGUGAGCUAAGUACCUUAACAGAUACAGAAUGACGCAAAUGCGCAGGUUCCUUUUCCCCUUCCCCUCUGCCAGCUUUCUCUGCCUCCCUGCAGCGGGAAGGAGGGGCUAACACGCUCUGCUUUGUGGCAGAUUUUGAUGCCCCAGGGAGCAGAGGCCCACACCCUGCUGUGUGGCUGCCCUGCCAGGCUGCACACUGGAGUGGACAGACACCUGCCUGGGAAGAGAGAUUUGAACCCUUUCAUGCAGCCUGUGCAAGAACUAGUAGGAAUACACGGCAGGGAUACUCAGUGCAGAUACGUGCCACAGUGUAAAAGAAGGCUCUGCCUCCCUGCUUGCAAUAUGCCAGUGUUACAUUGCUUGCCAGACUGCCAGAAUUAAGGCAAAGAGGUUAAUGGGAGGUGAACCUUGGAGAAGAACAGAGCUGCUUAAAGAAAGCCUGUAAAAUGGUACAGAGUUAUACUUUCCUAAUAUACUAGCCUACCAAUCUGUAGUAUAAGGGCUUUGUGGGCCAGGGGUUUGGUAUGCAUUUGUUAGCAGUAUUUUAAUAGACUUUCCUUCUAUGGAUUCAUCUUUGCUUUUUCAUCACUGCUUUUUUAAACUUACACUUUUGGUUACCCAUAUCAUCCCUGGAGCCAUGAAUCUAACUGUGCAAUAUGAAAAAGUGUAAUUUUUUGUUUUCAAACUUCUACCUGAUCAUUUCAUUUGAUACCUCCUAGUUCUUGUGCUAAAAGAAUUCAUGUCACCUUCUCCAUGUGUCUCUCAUACUGCCACUUAGAUGUCCCUUUCCCAAGGUGAAGCAUUCUCGUCUAUUUAGCUUGUCCACCAAAAGAAGCCAUUCUGAGCCAUGGCUGUUUAGUCGUCAUUUUCUGUAUCAUUUCUGAUUCUAUAAUUGUUUUUAAGAUCGAGGACCACUACAGCAUUCAGUAUUCAAGAAGCAACUGAAUAAUUCCUGUUAUAUUUACCUCUUGAAUAGCAUUGUAUGUUGACAUGAUUUUUCAUAGAACUUUCUGCGCUGACUGCUAAGUUUCUUCUUUGAAUGGUAAUAACUUAUCUAGAGUACAUCUCUCUGUAUGUAUAGUUAUGGUUGCUUUUCAAAAUUCAAUAAUUCACAAUUAGCAAUAUUAAAUUUUGCCUGCCUCUUUAUUGUGCUGUCAUUCAGUGUGCCACAAUUCUCCUACAGUUCUUCUAGAAGGAGAGGAUCUAAGACGAGAGAGUGGCAAAGGGCCAACUUUUAUAAGGCAUGUGAGGAAAGGUGCACAAGCAGCACCAGGACACCAGGAAUACAUCUCCCAUUCAAUUCCAUUGAGACUUAACCAGCAGAGAACAUAACGUUCUUCCGUCUUUUUCAAACAAGCAUCGCUGAACCAAGAAAAUACAAAGCACUGCCAAUAAUAGCUAAAGUUUUUAAUUUUUUUACUUUUUUUAAAGGAUUAAGCAGUGGGGUUGAAAUCUUGAAGGAGAACAUAUUUAAAAUCAGACUAUGAAACCAAUGGAGGAUCCAUAUUCUUCCCACACAGAAAUCUUCAAUGAAUGAAAACCAAGGAAUAGCAGAAAUCUUGGAUGGAACUCCACAAUGUUCAAUCAUAUGCGGUGUGCAAAUAAAAAGGCCUACACAAGUAGGGUAAAAUGCAGGGUUCAUGCCAAUCUGUAGGUAGCCUCAUAAUAAACCAUGCAGAA